rnacentral:rRNA from 1 species
ACGAACGCUGGCGGCGUGCUUAACACCUGCAAGUCGAACGGAAAGGCCUGCUUUCCCUUGUGGAUUGCGGGUGCUCGAGUGGCGAACGGGUGAGUAACACGUGAGUGAUCUGCCCCCAACUUGGGUAUAAGCCUGGGAAACUGGGUCUAAUUCCCGAUAGGACUGCAGGGUGGUGCCUGUGGUGGAAAACGAUUUUCUAGUGGUUGGGGAUGAGCUCGCGGCCUAUCAGCUUGUUGGUGGGGUAAUGGCCUACCAAGGCGGCGACGGGUAGCCGGCCUGAGAGGGUGGACGGCCACAUUGGGACUGAGAUACGGCCCAGACUCCUACGGGAGGCAGCAGUGGGGAAUAUUGCACAAUGGGCGGAAGCCUGGUGCAGCGACGCCGCGUGGGGGAUGACGGCCUUCGGGUUGUAAACUCCUUUCGACCGCGAGGAAGCCACCUGGUUGGAAGGGUGGUGACGGUAGUGGUAGAAGAAGCACCGGCUAACUACGU